CACAGGGACAGAAAGCGAAUAUGCAGGGACAGCAAGGUGGUAUACAGGGACAGAAAGGUGGUAUACAGGGACAGAAAGGUGGUAUACAGGGACAGAAAGGUGAUAUGCAGGGACAGAAAGGCGGUAUGCAGGGACAGAAAGGUGGUAUACAGGGACAGAAAAAUGGUACACAGGGAAAGAAAGCGAAUAUGCAGGGACAGAAAGGCAGUAUACAGGGACAGAAAGGUGGUAUACAGGGACAGAAAGGCAAUACGCAGGGACAGAAAGGCGGUAUGCAGGGACAGAAAGGCGAUACGCAGGGACAGAAAGGAGGUAUACAGGGACAGAAAGGUGGUAUACAGGGACAGAAAGGUGGUAUACAGGGACAGAAAAAUGGUACACAGGGACAGAAAGCGAAUAUGCAGGGACAGAAAGGUGGUAUACAGGGACAGAAAGGCGAUAUGCAGGGACAGAAAGGUGGUAUGCAGGGACAGAAAGGUAGUAUACAGGGACAGAAAGGUGGUAUACAGAGA
ensembl:lncRNA